rnacentral:rRNA from 1 species
UACGUAGGGUGCAAGCGUUGUCCGGAAUUAUUGGGCGUAAAGAGCUCGUAGGCGGUUUGUCGCGUCUGCUGUGAAAACCCGAGGCUCAACCUCGGGCCUGCAGUGGGUACGGGCAGACUAGAGUGCGGUAGGGGAGAUUGGAAUUCCUGGUGUAGCGGUGGAAUGCGCAGAUAUCAGGAGGAACACCAAUGGCGAAGGCAGAUCUCUGGGCCGUAACUGACGCUGAGGCGCGAAAGCUAGGGGAGCGAACAGG